UACGGAGGGUGCAAGCGUUAUCCGGAUUCACUGGGCUUAAAGGGUGCGUAGGCGGUCAGGUAAGUCCGUGGUGAAAUCUCUGAGCUUAACUCAGAAACUGCCAUGGAUACUAUUUGUCUUGAAUAUUGUGGAGGUAAGCGGAAUAUGUCAUGUAGCGGUGAAAUGCUUAGAUAUGACAUAGAACACCAAUUGCGAAGGCAGCUUACUACACAGUUAUUGACGCUGAGGCACGAAAGCGUGGGGAUCAAACAGG
rnacentral:rRNA from 1 species